rnacentral:rRNA from 1 species
AUUGAACGCUGGCGGCAUGCCUUACACAUGCAAGUCGAACGGCAGCACGGGUGCUUGCACCUGAUGGCGAGUGGCGAACGGGUGAGUAAUACAUCGGAACGUACCUUAUCGUGGGGGAUAACGCAGCGAAAGCUGUGCUAAUACCGCAUACGCCCUGAGGGGGAAAGCGGGGGAUCGCAAGACCUCGCGAGAUUAGGACGGCCGAUGCCGGAUUAGCUUGGUGGGGGGGUAAAAGCCCACCAAGGCGACGAUCAGUAGCUGGUCUGAGAGGACGAUCGGCCACACUGGGACUGAGACACGGCCCAGACUCCUACGGGAGGCAGCAGUGGGGAAUUUUGGACAAUGGGGGCAACCCUGAUCCAGCAAUGCCGCGUGAGUGAAGAAGGCCUUCGGGUUGUAAAGCUCUUUUGUCAGGGAAGAAACACCGGCUCUAACACAGUCCGGGAAUGACGGUACCUGAAGAAUAAGCACCGGCUAACUACGUGCCAGCCGCCGCGGUAA